AAAUUGAAUGACGAAGCAUUAACAAAAACAGUAUUUCAGUACAGUGGACAGCUUAGCAUUUUGACAAUUGGGAAUAAAAUGCUCAUUUCUGAACUGUACAAUGUAAGACACAAAAACAAAACACUGGAAAUGGAAAUUCAAUUAUGUCAUUAUAGACUGGCUACUGCUCUACAUGACUGUGACCAAAGUCAGAUAGUUGAAAGAGAUUUCUUUCCAGAGAACAAGACAUGAACAGGUUUAUUUACAGAAAACAAUGAAUUCUCAUAUAUCUAACCUAAAAUAUAGCAGAUUCUUUCCGAAGAAGUCUAAUGUAGACAAUAAAAUUAACAGGCUAAAAAUUAAGCUCCAUCAAACAAG
rnacentral:lncRNA from 1 species